GACAUAGGUCGCGAACGUUAUCCGGAAUUAUUGGGCGUAAAGGGUGCGUAGGUGGUGAGGUAAGUCGGAUGUGAAAGCUCGGAGCUCGACUCCGAAAUGGCAUUGGAAACGACCUUGCUCGAGGGUUGGAGGGGGGACUGGAAUGCUUGGUGUAGCAGUGAAAUGCGUAGAUAUCAAGCGGAACACCAGUGGCGAAGGCGAGUCCCUGGACAACUACUGACACUGAGGCACGAAAGCUAGGGGAGCAAACAGG
rnacentral:rRNA from 1 species